GAUGAACGCUGGCGGCGUGCCUAAUACAUGCAAGUCGAGCGAACGGACGAGAAGCUUGCUUCUCUGAUGUUAGCGGCGGACGGGUGAGUAACACGUGGAUAACCUACCUAUAAGACUGGGAUAACUUCGGGAAACCGGAGCUAAUACCGGAUAAUAUUUUGAACCGCAUGGUUCAAAAGUGAAAGACGGUCUUGCUGUCACUUAUAGAUGGAUCCGCGCUGCAUUAGCUAGUUGGUAAGGUAACGGCUUACCAAGGCAACGAUGCAUAGCCGACCUGAGAGGGUGAUCGGCCACACUGGAACUGAGACACGGUCCAGACUCCUACGGGAGGCAGCAGUAGGGAAUCUUCCGCAAUGGGCGAAAGCCUGACGGAGCAACGCCGCGUGAGUGAUGAAGGUCUUCGGAUCGUAAAACUCUGUUAUUAGGGAAGAACAUAUGUGUAAGUAACUGUGCACAUCUUGACGGUACCUAAUCAGAAAGCCACGGCUAACUACGUGCCAGCAGCCGCGGUAAUACGUAGGUGGCAAGCGUUAUCCGGAAUUAUUGGGCGUAAAGCGCGCGUAGGCGGUUUUUUAAGUCUGAUGUGAAAGCCCACGGCGCAUCCGUGGAGGGUCAUUGGAAACUGGAAAACUUGAGUGCAGAAGAGGAAAGUGGAAUUCCAUGUGUAGCGGUGAAAUGCGCAGAGAUAUGGAGGAACACCAGUGGCGAAGGCGACUUUCUGGUCUGUAACUGACGCUGAUGUGCGAAAGCGUGGGGAUCAAACAGGAUUAGAUACCCUGGUAGUCCACGCCGUAAACGAUGAGUGCUAAGUGUUAGGGGGUUUCCGCCCCUUAGUGCUGCAGCUAACGCAUUAAGCACUCCGCCUGGGGAGUACGACCGCAAGGUUGAAACUCAAAGGAAUUGACGGGGACCCGCACAAGCGGUGGAGCAUGUGGUUUAAUUCGAAGCAACGCGAAGAACCUUACCAAAUCUUGACAUCCUUUGACAACUCUAGAGAUAGAGCCUUCCCCUUCGGGGGACAAAGUGACAGGUGGUGCAUGGUUGUCGUCAGCUCGUGUCGUGAGAUGUUGGGUUAAGUCCCGCAACGAGCGCAACCCUUAAGCUUAGUUGCCAUCAUUAAGUUGGGCACUCUAAGUUGACUGCCGGUGACAAACCGGAGGAAGGUGGGGAUGACGUCAAAUCAUCAUGCCCCUUAUGAUUUGGGCUACACACGUGCUACAAUGGACAAUACAAAGGGCAGCGAAACCGCGAGGUCAAGCAAAUCCCAUAAAGUUGUUCUCAGUUCGGAUUGUAGUCUGCAACUCGACUACAUGAAGCUGGAAUCGCUAGUAAUCGUAGAUCAGCAUGCUACGGUGAAUACGUUCCCGGGUCU
rnacentral:rRNA from 1 species